GUUUGAUCCUGGCUCAGAUUGAACGCUGGCGGCAUGCUUUUAUACAUGCAAGUCGAACGGUAACGCGGGCUUCGGCCUGGCGACGAGUGGCGAACGGGUGAGUAAUACAUCGGAACGUGCCCAGUAGUGGGGGAUAGCUCGGCGAAAGCCGAAUUAAUACCGCAUACGCCCUAUGGGGGAAAGCGGGGGAUCGCAAGACCUCGCGCUAUUGGAGCGGCCGAUGCCAGAUUAGCUUGUUGGUGGGGUAAAGGCUUACCAAGGCAACGAUCUGUAGCUGGUCUGAGAGGACGACCAGCCACACUGGGACUGAGACACGGCCCAGACUCCUACGGGAGGCAGCAGUAGGGAAUUUUGGACAAUGGGCGAAAGCCUGAUCCAGCAAUGCCGCGUGUGUGAUGAAGGCCCUCGGGUUGUAAAGCUAC
rnacentral:rRNA from 1 species